rnacentral:rRNA from 1 species
UCUUCCUGAGGGGGGCAGCAGUAGGGAAUUUUCGUCAAUGGGCGCAAGCCUGAACGAGCAAUGCCGCGUGAACGAGGAAGGUCGUCGGAUCGUAAAGUUCUGUUGAAGGGGAAAAAGAGCGGAGAGAGGAAAUGAACUCCGAUUGAUAUUACCCUUCGAGGAAGUCACGGCUAACUACGUGCCGGCAGCCGCGGUAAUACGUAGGUGGCGAGCGUUAUCCGGAAUGAUUGGGCGUAAAGGGUGCGUAGGCGGCCUGCUAAGUCUGGAGUGAAAGGUACCGGCUCAACCGGUACAGGCUCUGGAAA